rnacentral:lncRNA from 1 species
AUGCACCUACCUGGGAAAUUAAGGGAUGAUGGGGAGAUGCCCGUGCUGUGCCUGAAACUUCAGAAGGCAUCGCUUUCGUUACGCCACUGCAAACUUUCCCACUCAAAGCCAUUUGCUACAAGGCUUGGAUUACCCACCGCUAUCUCUCCUUGUGUGUUUCUCAUUUCCCUGACCCAAGAGAAGCUCUUCACUGCAUUAUACCUUGAAACAUGCAUCAUCCUCCCGCAUGCUGCAGGGGCAAAAAAUAAAAAUCUCCGUUUUGGGGGACGCAGAGGCUCAUCCCCCAAAUUCCUGGAGCUGGGUGUCGUGGGCUGAUGAUUAUCACAGGACCCUCUGCAACACGACAUGGCUGACCAAAAGCUGUUUGGAAGAAAAUAUCUUCUCGCAUAGCAGCAACACCAGCCCAUUUCCUCAGAAAAGCAUUUGUGUGAUAACAGAAUCAUCUACUUUGGAAAAGACCUUCAAGAUCAAAGUCUGUACAGACAGGAUUUGAGCUGGCUUUUAUCAGGAACAAGCUAAAUUCUUUGGAAAAAUGUCACCUGAGGUGACUUUGUGAUGUCUGGGCAGGCUGCCGUGCCAAGACCAAAGCCAGCCCUGGGGCUCCUGCUGGGCAAUGCCACCUGGGUGCAGUGACCUUGGCACCGGAGGCAGCAUGGGGUUGUCCAGGACUGGUGCAAAGGCUGGGAUGCGAGAACAAAAAU